rnacentral:rRNA from 1 species
CCUACGGGUGGCAGCAGUCGAGAAUCAUUCACAAUGGGGGAAACCCUGAUGGUGCGACGCCGCGUGGGGGAAUGAAGGUCUUAGGAUUGUAAACCCCUGUCAUGUGGGAGCAAAUUAAAAAGAUAGUACCACAAGAGGAAGAGACGGCUAACUCUGUGCCAGCAGCCGCGGUAAUACAGAGGUCUCAAGCGGUGUUCGGAAUCAAUGGGCGUAAAGCGUGCGUAGGCUGUUUCGUAAGUCGGGUGUGAAAGGCGCGGGCCCAACCCGCGGACGGCACAUGAUACUGCGAGACUAGAGUAAUGGAGGGGGAAGCGGAAUUCGCGGUGUAGCAGUGAAAUGCGUAGAUAUCGAGAAGAACACUCGUGGCGAAGGCGGGUUCCUGGACAUUAACUGACGCUGAGGCACGAAGGCCAGGGGAGCGAAAGGGAUUAGAUACCCUUGUAGUC